rnacentral:rRNA from 1 species
CCAUGUGUAGCGGUGAAAUGCGUAGAUAUAUGGAGGGACACCAGUGGCGAAAGCGGCUNUCUGGUAUGUCACUGACGCUGAGGCUCGAAAGCGUGGGUAGCGAACAGGAUUAGAUACCCUGGUAGUNUACGCCGUAAACGAUGAGUGCUAGGUGUUAGGCCCUUUCCGGGGCUUAGUGCCGGAGCCAACGCAAUAAGCACUCCGCCUGGGGAGUACGACCGCAAGGUUGAAACUCAAAGGAAUUGACGGGGGCCCGCACAAGCGGUGGAGCAUGUGGUUUAAUUCGAAGCAACGCGAAGAACCUUACCAGGUCUUGACAUCCCGAUGCUAUUCUUAGAGAUAGGAAGUUACUUCGGUACAUCGGAGACAGGUGGUGCAUGGUUGUCGUCAGCUCGUGUCGUGAGAUGUUGGGUUAAGUCCCGCAACGAGCGCAACCCUUAUUGUUAGUUGCCAUCAUUAAGUUGGGCACUCUAGCGAGACUGCCGGUAAUAAACCGGAGGAAGGUGGGGAUGACGUCAAAUCAUCAUGCCCCUUAUGACCUGGGCUACACACGUGCUACAAUGGUCGGUACAAUGAGUUGCGAGCCGGUGACGGCAAGCUAAUCUCUGAAAGCCGAUCUCAGUUCGGAUUGGAGGCUGCAACUCGCCUCCAUGAAGUCGGAAUCGCUAGUAAUCGCGGAUCAGCACGCCGCGGUGAAUACGUUCCCGGGCCUUGUACACACCGCCCGUCACACCACGAGAGUUUGUAACACCCGAAGUCGGUGAGGUAACCUUUUAG